rnacentral:tRNA from 1 species
AGCAGGGUAGCGCAGCCCGGUAGCGCGCGUGGGCUCAUAACCAUGAGGUCAGCGGUUCGAAUCCGCUUCCUGCAACCA